rnacentral:rRNA from 1 species
AGAACUUGAAACCGUGUGCUUACAAGUAGUCAGAGCCCGUUAAUGGGUGAUGGCGUGCCUUUUGUAGAAUGAACCGGCGAGUUACGAUCUGAUGCAAGGUUAAGCAGAAAAUGUGGAGCCGUAGCGAAAGCGAGUCUGAAUAGGGCGAAUGAGUAUUUGGUCGUAGACCCGAAACCAGGUGAUCUACCCUUGGUCAGGUUGAAGUUCAGGUAACACUGAAUGGAGGACCGAACCGACUUACGUUGAAAAGUGAGCGGAUGAACUGAGGGUAGCGGAGAAAUUCCAAUCGAACUUGGAGAUAGCUGGUUCUCUCCGAAAUAGCUUUAGGGCUAGCCUCAAGUGAUGAUUAUUGGAGGUAGAGCACUGUUUGGACGAGGGGCCCCUCUCGGGUUACCGAAUUCAGACAAACUCCGAAUGCCAAAUAAUUUAACUUGGGAGUCAGAAUGUGGGUGAUAAGGUCCAUAUUCGAAAGGGAAACAGCCCAGACCACCAGCUAAGGUCCCAAAAUAUAUGUUAAGUGGAAAAGGAUGUGGCGUUGCCCAGACAACUAGGAUGUUGGCUUAGAAGCAGCCAUCAUUUAAAGAGUGCGUAAUAGCUCACUAGUCGAGUGACACUGCGCCGAAAAUGUACCGGGGCUAAACAUAUUACCGAAGCUGUGGAUUGUCCUUUGGACAAUGGUAGGAGAGCGUUCUAAGGGCGUUGAAGCAUGAUCGCAAGGACAUGUGGAGCGCUUAGAAGUGAGAAUGCCGGUGUGAGUAGCGAAAGACGGGUGAGAAUCCCGUCCACCGAUUGACUAAGGUUUCCAGAGGAAGGCUCGUCCGCUCUGGGUUAGUCGGGUCCUAAGCUGAGGCCGACAGGCGUAGGCGAUGGAUAACAGGUUGAUAUUCCUGUACCACCAUUAUUCGUUUUAAGCGAUGGGGGGACGCAGUAGGAUAGGCGAAGCGUGCUGUUGGAGUGCACGUCCAAGCAGUGAGAUUGAGUGUUAGGCAAAUCCGGCACUCUUAAGAUUGAGCUGUGAUGGGGAGAGGAACUUGUUCCUCGAGUCGUUGAUUUCACACUGCCGAGAAAAGCCUCUAGCUAGAAUAACGGUGCCCGUACCGCAAACCGACACAGGUAGUCAAGAUGAGAAUUCUAAGGUGAGCGAGCGAACUCUCGUUAAGGAACUCGGCAAAAUGACCCCGUAACUUCGGGAGAAGGGGUGCUCUUUGAGGUUCACGCUUCGAAGAGCCGCAGUGAAUAGGCCCAAGCGACUGUUUAUCAAAAACACAGGUCUCUGCUAAACCGUAAGGUGACGUAUAGGGGCUGACGCCUGCCCGGUGCUGGAAGGUUAAGAGGAGUGGUUAGCGCAAGCGAAGCUACGAAUCGAAGCCCCAGUAAACGGCGGCCGUAACUAUAACGGUCCUAAGGUAGCGAAAUUCCUUGUCGGGUAAGUUCCGACCCGCACGAAAGGCGUAACGAUUUGGGCACUGUCUCAACGAGAGACUCGGUGAAAUCAUAGUACCGGUGAAGAUGCCGGUUACCCGCGACAGGACGGAAAGACCCCGUGGAGCUUUACUGUAGCCUGAUAUUGAAAUUCGGUACAGUUUGUACAGGAUAGGUAGGAGCCUUAGAAGCGUGAGCGCUAGCUUACGUGGAGGCAUUGGUGGGAUACUACCCUAAUUGUAUUGGAUUUCUAACCCGCAGCACUUAUCGUGCUGGGAGACAGUGUCAGGCGGGCAGUUUGACUGGGGCGGUCGCCUCCUAAAGAGUAACGGAGGCGCUCAAAGGUUCCCUCAGAAUGGUUGGAAAUCAUUCAUAGAGUGUAAAGGCAUAAGGGAGCUUGACUGCGAGACCUACAAGUCGAGCAGGGUCGAAAGACGGACUUAGUGAUCCGGUGGUUCCGCAUGGAAGGGCCAUCGCUCAACGGAUAAAAGCUACCCCGGGGAUAACAGGCUUAUCUCCCCCAAGAGUUCACAUCGACGGGGAGGUUUGGCACCUCGAUGUCGGCUCAUCGCAUCCUGGGGCUGUAGUCGGUCCCAAGGGUUGGGCUGUUCGCCCAUUAAAGCGGUACGCGAGCUGGGUUCAGAACGUCGUGAGACAGUUCGGUCCCUAUCCGUCGUGGGCGUAGGAAAUUUGAGAGGAGCUGUCCUUAGUACGAGAGGACCGGGAUGGACAUACCUCUGGUGUACCAGUUGUCGUGCCAACGGCAUAGCUGGGUAGCUAUGUAUGGACGGGAUAAGUGCUGAAAGCAUCUAAGCAUGAAGCCCCCCUCGAGAUGAGAUUUCCCAACUUCGGUUAUAAGAUCCCUCAAAGAUGAUGAGGUGAAU